AUGGCCGAGGCCGCCCUCGGUGCGGCGCAAUGGGUGGUGGGCAAGGCGCUAGGCCCCGUCGCGGAUGGCGUGCUGGAGGCUUGGGCUGCCAGCACCAACUUUGCUCCCAACAUCCAGGAGCUCAGCAAGGAACUGCUGUUCGUCAAGGCCAUGCUCGAACGAGCUGCCACCAGGGAGCUCGUCGGGCCAGCUACGGUGGAGCUGCUGCACAAGCUGCAGGACUCGGCGCACAAUGCCGAGGACUUGCUGGACGAGCUAGACUACUUCCGCAUCCACGACGAGCUCCACGGCACGUACGAGGCUGCUGACCAGCAUGAUGAGGGUUGCGUCUGCGACCUGGCCCUCAAUGCUCGCCACACCGCCAAAACUAUUGGCAAACAGCUGGCAUCUUUGACCACGUGCUGCUUCGGUGCCAACACUGGCCAUCCCCGACAAGAAGAUGCAAGACAACAUGUCAGCUGUUGCGCCUGGAAGUGUGGUAGGCAGAGAUCACCCGGUGAUUCCUCCUCUGUGCCAAACGCCAAUCAGCCAGGUCAGGAGGUCAGCGGAUGCAUGUGCAAACUUGGUAAACUCUUCUCUGGCUCAUCUUCCUCACAUCCACAUGUUCCUGGUGAUGAAGAUCAUGGCAAUGUGCAAGAAACACCAAUGCCUGAAUUUAACAGGGUUGUUUUCUCUCAAAGGAUGAAGAAUGCUAUAGAGCAAUUAAAGCUUAUGAGUGAGGAUGUUAACAAGAUUCUGACACAUUGUGGCCCUAGAACUACCACAGACACUGCCCAGCAUCGUUCCCCCACCACACCGCAGAGUGCAGAGCCAAAACUAUAUGGGAGGGACCAUGUCAUGAAUAGCAUCAUACAUGAUAUCACUGCGGGACAAUACUGUGACAAGGGUCUAACUGUUCUUCCAGUUAUUGGUCCGGGGGGCAUGGGGAAGACAACUUUGAUACAACACAUAUAUAACAAUCAACAAGUGCAGAAUCAUUUUCCAGUCAGGAUUUGGAUAUGUGUGUCAUUCAGUUUCAACCUGGACAAGGUGCUAGAACAGAUUAAAAGAUAUUCCCCUGAAGUUGAAGGUGAAAAAGAGUGUAGCACUACACAAGAGCUGAUUGAACACAGAUUAAAAUGCAAAAGGUUCUUACUUGUAUUGGAUGAUAUAUGGCAGUUUACUGAUGUGGAUGACUGGAAAAAACUGUUAUUGAUACUCGGCAAGUCACAAGAAAAGGGCUCCAUGGUUCUAGUCACAACUCGGCAGAAAGAGAUAGCAGAUCAAGUUAAGAAAACUGUAGAACCAAAAGAAUUGAAUGGUUUAGAACCUGGAGAGUUUAAGAAGUUAUUCCUUGUAUAUGUCUUUGAUGCUGAGCAAUAUCCAAGGGAUAAACUUCAUUUGCUUAACACUGGAGAUGAGAUAAUGGGAAAACUUAAGUGCUCCCCUCUUGCAGCAAAGACUGUUGGUAGAUUACUGAGCAAAGACCUUAGUUUGCCGUAUUGGAAAAGGGUCCUAAAAUGUAAAGAAUGGGCGAAGCAGACCGAUGACAAUGGAAUUAUGCCUGCCUUGAAGCUUAGCUAUGACUUUCUCCCUUUCCAUUUGCAACAGUGUUUUUUCUAUUCUGCAUUGUUUCCUGAAGAUUACUUUUUCAGAAGCGAAGAGCUUAUCGGCCUGUGGGAUGGUCUAGAUAUUUCAAUACCUGCUGGUCAAAAUCAAACACUUGAAGACAUAGGUUUGAGAAAUUUAAAGGAGUUAGUCAUUCAUGGAUUUUUUAGAGAAGGGGGAACUGAUGGUGAUCUGUGGUAUGUUAUGCAUGACCUGCUGCAUGAUUUGGCAUUGCAGGUUGCAUCCCAUUAUUGUCUCAGUUUACGUCUCUCUAAUGUUAGAUCAAUGGAAAUUCAGCCAUCCAUCCGUCACUUGUCUAUAAGCACAGAUGACUUGGGUGAAUAUGAUGCAAUGUCUGGUGCAAAAUUGAAGAGUGAAUUGGAAGAACUGAAGAAAAGAUUUAAGGUUGAAGAUUUGCAAACAUUGAUGUUAUUCGGAAAAAUGGAUGAAAGUUUUGUCAAGAUAUUUGGUGACUUUUUGGGGGAAGUGAACGAUCUUCGUGUUCUUCAUUUGCCCAAUAUGCUCUGUCCGGUGGAGUCCAUGUUACAUAAGUUUUUAGGACUUGUCCACCUACGAUAUCUAUGUCUAGGGACAAAUGAGAGCGAGAUGCAUUUGCCACUUGGCAUCUCUAAAUUUUAUCAUCUAAGGUUUCUAAAUCUUAAAUGGUGGAAUGGCAGCCGUGAUUUGCCUGACAUGAGCAACCUUGGGAAAUUGUGCCAUUUUUAUGUCCCAACUGAUGGUCAGCUUCAUUCUGAUAUUUAUAAUGUGGGGAGACUUGAACUCUUAGAAGAGUUGAAGGUAUUUCAAAUCAAUAAAAGAAGUGAAGGGUUUGAACCAAAGCAGCUAGAGCACUUGACAAAGCUAAGGGAGCUUGGGAUCUACAACCUUGAGAAGAUAGAUACAACAGAAGAAGCAGCUCAAGCAAAACUGAUGGAGAAAAAUUACUUGAGGAGGUUAACAUUGGACUGGGAUAGUAAGCGAUCUAGUGUUGAGCAUGGUGUGGAAGCAGCGGUUCUUGAGAGCCUUCAGCCACAUGGAGAUCUUCAGGUGUUGUGCAUUAGAGGGCAUGGAGGUCCUUCUUGUCCAACAUGGCUAGGUGAUGAGUUCGCUGUUGAAGGUCUACAAUCUCUUUAUCUGGAUGGUGUUUCUUGGGAAGUUUUCCCUUCUUUAGGGAAGGCGUGGGAUCUUCGUGAAUUAAGGUUACAGAAUAUUGCCAGACCGAAGGAUUUUAUCAUAGAGAAAAGCUUUUGCAUGCUAACACACCUUAUACUCAUUGGCCUAGGAAGUUUUGAAAAAUGGGUUUACACAGGUGGACAAGAGUCUUCCAUUGGUGGAGACUUGUUGCCACCGACUGCUCAUCUGUUCCCUAUUUUGCAAGUUCUGAUUAUUAGAGAGUGCCCGAGGCUGUUGGGGUUGCCUUUCCCAAACCACAUUGUUUCCCCAGAUUGGUUCUCCAAGCUACAAGAGCUUGAGGUAAGCGACUGCCCCGAAUUCUUGCCAGUGAUUCCCAUCUCCUGGAUCGAAAGGGUGCGUUCUGUCACGAUGAAAUGUGUAAAGAUGCUAAAGGAUUUUGCAUACUUGAAAUCAUCUGGUGGAGCAAAAUUGAGAAUUACCGGAGAGAGUGAUCUGCUUAGCUUAGACCAAGUGCUGGUUUUUAAUAAAGAAACAGGUCUAGAGAAGCUGACACUGGACAAGUGCCCACCUCUGGAGUUGAAGCACCUUCUGAUGCUAACCUCGCUGAGGACAUUGAUUGUAGAAAAUUCAGUUGGUGUAGUUGGACCACUAGGAGGAGGUCAGAGUGAUGUGGAAUGGCAGCUCCCUGUUGAGUAUAUCAAGAUCUACAAGUUAAAUGGUAAUACUGGCAAGGAACUGACAGAGCUCCUCCACCACCUCCCAAAGCUCUCCAAAUUGGAAGUAUGGAGGUGUAAAAACAUAAAACAGCUUGUAGUGGGGGUGGAUGUGCAACAAACAACACAAGGAGCAUUAGAGAUGCUGCUCUUCCCACCUCAUUUAUGUGACUCACUACGGGAAUUGGAGUUGAGUCACUGCCCAGAGCUGGUCCUGGUGGACCCUCCAACUCUUGUUCCUGGUGGAGGAUGGCUCCAAGCCUUGCAAUCCCUCCAGAGAUUAACAAUAUGGUUGUCCCCAAAGUUUCUAUCCACCUUCUCCUUUUCCCAUCACCUUUUUCCUUCCUCCCUGCAAUUCCUGAAUCUUAGGAGUGUGAAAGGCAUGGUGACACUGGAGCCCCUCUCAAACCUAUCCUCUCUUGUCAGAUUAGAAUUGUGGAAUUGCGGAGAGGAUUUGAAAUAUCAGGGCUUUUGGCCUCUCCUUACCAAAUUAGAGGUCAGGGGUAGCCCUAGAUUCUUUGCUGAUUGGGAUCCCAAUACCAGACGGGUUUUGGAGGAUGCUGAGGGAGGUGAAGAGCAGCAGACACAGCUUGUUUCAUCCACACUGCGUGAGCUCGGGACAGAUGUCAUAGCAGGACUUCUUGCUGCACCCGUCUGUAGAUUCCUCUUUUCCUCCCUCAACAAGCUGAAACUUUGGGGGGAUUGGUGUGAAGGGAUGGAGCGCUUCAGCAAGGAGCAAGAGGACGCCCUUCAACUCCUCUCCUCCCUCCAGAAACUAGAGUUUUGGAGUUUCAAGGACCUUCAACAACUCCCUGCAGGGCUGCGUAAACUUACCAGCCUCAAGAUAUUAUUAGUCAACUGCUGUCCAGCCAUCUCGUCGUUGCCCAACGAUGCCCUCCCGGAUUCACUGGAAAUGCUAGAUGUCUACAACUGCAGCGAAGAGCUAAAACAGCAGUGCAGGGGGUUGGAGGGAACCAUCCCAAGAGUCAGAAUACUCUGA
rnacentral:rRNA from 1 species